GGGGGUGUACUGGCUUCGAUCUGAGCGGAUACCGCGCAGGAGAAGCGGGCCGAGGUCCCCGGAUGCCUCGUGAAAAGCCGGGACAACACAAGCGCCGAUACUGAAUACGCGCUCGCUGCCUAGGUAGCUAGGUAGCCGUCCGCCGCGGGUCGCCUGCGACCGCGGGUCGGGCGUCGUGAGCAGGCUCACGGAGACGGUUCCGCCUGGGGGCCGCCGCCGGACAUCGAACCCGGGCUGGCCGAGAGGUGCUCCGCCGGUGGGAGCCUCGAAGCGAGAACCAACCGCCGGCUGCGCCCGGAGAAGUCCUGAUCGGUCGCCCAGAGACAGGGGUUCGACCCCCCUCACCUCCACCA
rnacentral:tmRNA from 1 species